UUGGACGGCCAUAGGAGUGGGGUUCACCCAGAUCCAUUUCGAACCUGGAAGUUAAGACCACUGCCGUAUCAUGGUGUACUGCAUUACGCGGGAAACAUGGUAAGCUGUCCCUU
rnacentral:rRNA from 1 species